rnacentral:rRNA from 1 species
GAUGAACGCUGGCGGCGUGCCUAAUACAUGCAAGUCGAGCGAAGCGGGGACGGGUGAGUAACACGUGGAUAACCUCCUAUAAGACUGGGGUAAGGUAGGGAAACCGGAGAUAAACCGGUUACUUAUAGGUGGAUCCGCGUUGCAGUAGCUAGUUGGUACGGUAACGGCUUACCAAGGCUACGAUGCGUAGCCGACCUGAGAGGAUGAUCAGCCACACUGGAACUGAGACACGGUCCAGACUCCUACGGGAGGCAGCAGUGGGGAAUCUUCGGCAAUGGGCGAAAGCCUGACGCAGCAACGCCGCGUGAGUGAAGAAGGUCUUCGGAUCGUAAAGCUCUGUUAGUAGGGAGGCGUUACCUACUCAAUAAGCCCCGGCUAACUACGUGCCAGCAGCCGCGGUAAUUC